UCCGUGCACUCAUAUCCGGAG
rnacentral:misc_RNA from 1 species